ensembl:lncRNA
AACAAGGUCAAGAACUUUAUUUUGAAUGUUUAGCUGAGACAUAGUAGAAAUGGUGGACAAAGCCAGAGUGUAGUUCAUAAUUUUUAUCUUAGAUAGCUGUUGAAUCUAUUGAUCUGAAGUUACAGCUUAUUCAGCAGGAAAUUAUGUUUUGUGGAUACCAACAUUUUUUUAGUAAAAGCAUGAGUAAGUCUGCGAAUUGUUGACAGCAUUUAGUUAUGAUGGCCUGUAAUACCUUUAGUGUUAAAUGCCAUAUGCUUCUAAAUCAGUUGCUGUAGAACAGCAGAAAAAAUGAUUGCUUUGUGGGCUUUCUAAGAGGCAUCAAGUAGGCCAUUUUGGGGGAAAAUGCUAAACUAGGUCAGGGGGCCAUUUGUGGAUUAGGGCAGGAAGUGCCUCAUCUCAAAAUUUUGGAGAACACCCCUCCAAUCUGAUCCAGCAAGGUUUCCCUUGACAAUCCUCCACACCUUACAAAGGCUUGUCAAAUGUUUGUCUUUUUAAAUUUCUGUGGUUCUAUAAAGUUUUUAUUUACUAUAAACUGCAAAACCUGUGUCACUGCAAAAGUAAAACCAACGCUAUGUUCCAGCUUGAACCGUGUUGAACUAAAAGGCACUGUGGUUGAAAAAGAAAAUAAAAAUGGAUAUAUUUCCUUAGCAUAUAUUUCAAAUAAAUUAGAAUUGUACUCUUUCAGCCUCACUUGCACCUCAACAAAAACGUAUGUGCAAAUAUCAAAAUUGUCACUGAGAAAGAAUGAACUAUCAAAAUUGAAGUGAAUUGUAAAGUUUCAAUGUUACGGAGCUGAUUUGUAAGUGAACAACAAAGAAAAAAAUUCUUAUUACUGUAAAACCAAUGUAGGCAUGUAUUAUUAGUACAGCUCAAAGGAGAUUGUAUAAGGGUCCAUUCACACAGUCCACUGGGGUUGCAGUUAUCACGUGCCACCUUUAAGUCUUUCUUUCAUCCAUGAUGUGAUUGGUAAUGUCCAUUUCAUAACCUUCAGCUAUUCUGUGACAACUGCAGUACUACAGGAGAUACAUGGAUGUGUAAAUUGUCCCCAGGUUUCUCACAUUAUUGGCAGGCUAACANNNNNNNNNNNNNNNNNNNNNNNNNNNNNGAAAUGGAGCAGGCAACCUAGCAGGUUCUUUCAUUCUUUGAUUUUUUGGGGGAGAAAAAUUCUGAUUCAGGCAAACAUUAUUGGAAUCCACAUAGGAUCGUUUCAGAGGUUGCCGCGAUUUCAUUCUUAAGAGAGUAUACAUAUCUUGUAAAAGUUUGUAAAGCACCUGCUACAGGAUACAUUAAAAGGAAAUUAAGACUGUUAUUAUGUGAUUUGUCUGUACUGCUCGAAUCAUCUCAUGUAAACAUCAUAGUGGCCCAUAACAUCCCUAAAUGCUUAAGCAUUCCGUAUGCAUGGCUAAGCAUUUUUUCUUCCAUGGAUGCCUCCUCAGCUCCAUGCAAACCUAUCUUUAAGUAUGACAUAUAAACAUGGAUGCCUCAUCCUAGCAAUGUGGGUGUUGUAGUGUAUGCACAGAGCUCCCCACUACCUAUUCAUACACAUCAAUGGGUAAAUCUUAUUAGUCUCAACUAGAGUAGAGCCGCGGAAUGAAUGAGACUUGUAAAGUCAACAAUUGUGUGAGACCCACUGAUUUAAUAGGCCUGAUUUGGUUGGGGCUAACUACUAAUUAUUAACCCAUUUAAUGGGUUAAUAAUUAAUGGAUGUAAAGCUGCCUUGAUAUUUGUGUCUGUAUCUCAGCAUGCAGGAGAGUCCAGUGUGUGAGCAGAUGUAAUCCAUAUACUGUUGAUAUUGGUGGAAACAUUCCCAAUGCUUUCAGAAUGUGUCAGUAAUUACUGGCCACAAUAUCUACCUUGUGGCCCCAGUCCCAUUGAUUGUAGUGGGACUUGGCUAGAAAUGGCUUUGUUGCCAAUAAAUUGUAGGUAUAAACAAGCA